GUGCUCGCUUUGACAGCACGUAUACUAAAAUUAGAACGAUACAGAGAAGAUUAGCAUGGCCCCUGUAUAAGGAUGACCCACAAAUGCAUUGAAGCGUUCCAUUUUUUG
rnacentral:snRNA from 1 species